rnacentral:lncRNA from 1 species
UUGUCACAGAAUUGAUGGAGACAUAGGAUGUGUGAUGGUCACUCCAGGAGUGGGGGUGGCAUGGGGACAAGCCAAGGCAUCUCUGCCACUCCGUGGCCCCUGCCCACUUGCUGGUCCUAACGUGCGCAAGGAUCUGCCCACCUCACCAGGAGGACAAGCUGAGGCUCAGAGAGGCACAGAGCCAUGCAGAGAACACACAGCUUGUUUAAAGUCGGAGCUGGAGCGGAACCUGACACCAGCAGACUCUGGACCGCUGCUCUUAACCCAUGUGUUGACCCCACAACUGGGAGGGAAAACCCUUUGGGGGCUCAAGAUCCCUAGGGAGGCAAGAGAAUUCUCUACUGGGAUCGAAAGGUCAUACAUAGGCACCGUGAGUGCACUCACGUGGAGCCGGCUCUCCACUCACGUGGGUUCGGA